GAUUAACGCUAGCGGCAGGCCUAAUACAUGCAAGUCGAACGGUAACAGGUGUAGCAAUGCAUGCUGACGAGUGGCGCACGGGUGCGUAACACGUAUGCAACCUACCUUUAACUGGGGAAUAGCCUUCCGAAAGGGAGAUUAACACCGCAUAACAUCACGAAACGGCAUCGUUUUGUGAUCAAACCUCCGGGGGUUAUAGAUGGGCAUGCGUAACAUUAGCUAGUUGGUGAGGUAAUGGCUCACCAAGGCUACGAUGUUUAGGGGGUCUGAGAGGAUGAUCCCCCACACUGGUACUGAGACACGGACCAGACUCCUACGGGAGGCAGCAGUAAGGAAUAUUGGACAAUGGGGGCAACCCUGAUCCAGCCAUGCCGCGUGAAGGAUGAAGGCCCUCUGGGUUGUAAACUUCUUUUGUACGGGAAUAAACCCCUUUACGUGUAGAGGGUUGAAUGUACCGUAAGAAUAAGGAUCGGCUAACUUCGUGCCAGCAGCCGCCGUAA
rnacentral:rRNA from 1 species